rnacentral:rRNA from 1 species
AGUGAACGCUGGCGGUAGGCCUAACACAUGCAAGUCGAACGGCAGCACAGUAAGAGCUUGCUCUUACGGGUGGCGAGUGGCGGACGGGUGAGGAAUACAUCGGAAUCUACUUUUUCGUGGGGGAUAACGUAGGGAAACUUACGCUAAUACCGCAUACGACCUACGGGUGAAAGCAGGGGAUCUUCGGACCUUGCGCGAUUGAAUGAGCCGAUGUCGGAGUAGCUAGUUGGCGGGGUAAAGGCCCACCAAGGCGACGAUCCGUAGCUGGUCUGAGAGGAUGAUCAGCCACACGGGAACUGAGACACGGUCCAGACCCCUACGGGAGGCAGCAGUGGGGAAUAUUGGACAAUGGGCGCAAGCCUGAUCCAGCCAUACCGCGUGAGUGAAGAAGGCCGUCGGGUUGUAAAGCCCUUUUGUUGGGAAAGAAAAGCAGCAGGUUAAUACCGCGCUGUUCUGACGGUACCCAAAGAAUAAGCACCGGCUAACUUCGUG